AACACAGAUUUUAAAAGUACACAUUUUUCUGG
rnacentral:piRNA from 1 species